AAACUUAGAAUGAUUUCUAUAAUUAUGAUUUCAUAACGAUAUUUAGUUUCUUAACGAAUGUGAUAAAUGCGUUCGGAAAAUAUUGCUUAGCCCUAGAUUAAGUGGAACGAUGUUAUACUGAUUAAAAUACGAUUUUAAAUAAUGAUACAUUCAGCAAAUUUAUAACUACUGUUGAUACUGAGGAAGAAUCGAUCAAUUUUAAGGCCAAGCG